UCUUUCCUAUAUAGAAUAUUACGGAAUAUAAAGUGAUUGCAAUGAAUUAUUCGCGAAGAAAGUUUCACACAAGCUUGGAAUUGGAAUUCUUUCUAGAAUAAAAAAAAAAAAAAAAGAAAAAAGGAAAACGCGGAAAAAAGGAAAAAAGUUCACGUUUACAAUUUGCAAAUGUUCAUUCGCGUUUAACAUGCAAGCUAUAGAAGGCCAUAAUUUAUCGGUUGGCGCGCGUGGACCUUCCUCGCAUAUAAUAUGCAUCGCUAUUUAAAAGCAAUCGGGUCUCGCGUGCUCGGUACGCAGCGUGAGUCACCUGGCCUACGGAUAGGGCUUCGCUAUUUCUUAUUGUGCAUGAUUGGCUAAUGAACCAUGUGCGACUGUUACCGUUUUUUUAUCGACGAAUUCUUGUCUCAUUGUAAUAAAAUUCUCAUUUAUAUAUAGCGUGGCGGGGUUACAAGAUCGUACGGUAUCGUGUUUAUCGUUUUAAACCAAUUGGACGACGAGCCGGUUAAUUGCGAACGUAGUAGGUCUGAUAAUGCGAAGCCCGUGGAACAAUGCGAUGAUAAUUGGUGGUAAACUGUAAUGUAAUUAUGCGAUAUAUCCUGUGCAUUGUUCAAAAUAAUUAAAGGAUCAAAUAAUACCAAAUAAUGAAUAUUCCCAUGCAAUUCGUUUAUCUCUGCUAUAUUUAAUUCAUUUUACAAAAUCAUUCAUCAUUUGUUUUCAAAAAUUUCAUUUGGAUUCCUUCUUAUCUUUUAUAAAUAAAAGAAUAUUAUGUUAUGAAAAUAUUGCCACAAUUCUAGAAACGAUUGUCCAUUGUGAAAGUAUCGAAAAGCAUCGGUACGACUGGUGAAAUUGCAGUUCUCUAUAAAUUUAAUGAUUCGAAAUUGUAACCUUGCCAUUGUAGACACGCGAUUCGGCAUCGCAUUGUCGCAUUCUUGUCGCUUUUCAUGCAAUCGGUACGACUAUUCCCUUGGAAAUUACAGUAUUUUUGGUGUUCAAUGAACAUUUGCUCAAAUUCAAUCGAUCGAAUUUAUCGAUUCAAGGCAAAUGGUCACGCUAUCGGUAUUUAGUGACGCAGAGAAUCGUGGAAAAAAGUGAAUAGCAAAGAGAGAGAGAGAAAGAGAGAGAGAGAGAGAGAGAACAAGAUGGAAUUGUUCUUCGAGUUGGGAUUCGAGACAAUACGCUCGUCCAUUUUAUUCGCGAGGGAUCUAUUCGCGAGAAAGUUUUUGUCGUUCGUAGUCGUCUUUAUUUUUAUCUUUGUGCACGGAACGUUGAUACAGAUGUGUAUAACCUGAUUGCAAGUUUUUCUAUUUCUCGAUUAAUCGAAUGCGAAUCGAUUCAAUCUCGAAUCCUUUCGAUCUGACGGUUAAUCGAUUUCUAGUUCGAUAUUACCGAUAGAGGGAAACUCGUGUUCAUUCGAGAACUGGUAUCGAUCGUGUUAUCCGUUAUCAAGCUCGCGGACCCACGAAGCGAUAUCGAUUGCGCUUUUCGAAUAGUGAAACGCGAUUAUUCAAUCUCGAAUGACAUACUAUUGCGCGAACGCCUCUUGUGCGCCUCGCUGUCUGCGAGUGGCCGUACUAACUCCAGUGUUUCUCAAUUCAAGGCAACGUUCUCGCGUUCCUCGUUGCUAAAUUAUUACGGUCGGGUUAAGCCUUUGAGCUUCCAUCAUUCUCGACGUAGUUGAGAUUCGAUAUCACGUGUAGCCGGCAACGAGAUUUAUUCACGCUCGCGAUCGAAAGACUUUUUUUAUCGUUCAAUUCAGUUCGAUUUAUAAAAUCUUCAAACGUCCAAUGGAUUAACGUCGCGACGUGGCGGUGAACAGGAGAGGCAAAGGACAAUCCCGUUCCAAUUUGGAAUUUCGAAGACGUUUCAGCGUUAGGAAUCGUUCGUAACGAUCUUUGUUACACGGUGUUAAUCGCGGAAGCUCAAGAGCCCGAACGAGCGAGGACAAAACGAGAAAAUCCGAGGGAAACUACUCGACUAACACCGAGUCACCCUUGUAUCAUAAGCAGAUUAGAUUAGAUUAAAUUAAAUACCGAACGCUUCUCGCUUGUCGUUAGAAUCACGACGAACGAACUUGUACAUCGUAUAUAUACGUGGUGUAGCCUGAGGUACGGCCAUAAACAGAGAGAGAAAAAGAGAUAGAGAGAG